rnacentral:rRNA from 1 species
CGCGUAGGCGGCUUCGGAAGUCAUGGGUGAAAGCCCCAGGCUCAACCUGGGAAUUGCCUGUGAAACCACGGAGCUGGAGUGCUGGAGAGGGAAGUGGAAUUCCCAGUGUAGCGGUGAAAUGCGUAGAUAUUGGGAGGAACAUCUGUGGCGAAGGCGGCUUCCUGGACAGACACUGACGCUGAGGCGCGAAAGCCGAGGGGAGCGAAACG